rnacentral:rRNA from 1 species
AGCUACGGGUGUCACUUAGGUGACGCGGUAGAGGAGCGUUCUGUAAGCCUGUGAAGGUGAGUUGAGAAGCUUGCUGGAGGUAUCAGAAGUGCGAAUGCUGACAUGAGUAACGACAAUGGGAGUGAAAAACUCCCACGCCGAAAGACCAAGGUUUCCUGCGCAACGUUAAUCGACGCAGGGUUAGUCGGUCCCUAAGGCGAGGCUGAAAAGCGUAGUCGAUGGAAAACAGGUUAAUAUUCCUGUACUUCUAGUUAUUGCGAUGGAGGGACGGAGAAGGCUAGGCCAGCUUGGCGUUGGUUGUCCAAGUUUAAGGUGGUAGGCUGAGAUCUUAGGUAAAUCCGGGAUCUUAAGGCCGAGAGCUGAUGACGAGUUGCCUUUAGGCGACGAAGUGGUUGAUGCCAUGCUUCCAAGAAAAGCUUCUAAGCUUCAGAUAACUAGGAACCGUACCCCAAACCGACACAGGUGGUUGGGUAGAGAAUACCAAGGCGCUUGAGAGAACUCGGGUGAAGGAACUAGGCAAAAUGGCACCGUAACUUCGGGAGAAGGUGCGCCGGUGAGGGUGAAGGACUUGCUCCGUAAGCCCAUGCCGGUCGAAGAUACCAGGCCGCUGCGACUGUUUAUUAAAAACACAGCACUCUGCAAACACGAAAGUGGACGUAUAGGGUGUGACGCCUGCCCGGUGCCGGAAGGUUAAUUGAUGGGGUUAGCUAACGCGAAGCUCUUGAUCGAAGCCCCGGUAAACGGCGGCCGUAACUAUAACGGUCCUAAGGUAGCGAAAUUCCUUGUCGGGUAAGUUCCGACCUGCACGAAUGGCGUAACGAUGGCGGCGCUGUCUCCACCCGAGACUCAGUGAAAUUGAAAUCGCUGUGAAGAUGCAGUGUAUCCGCGGCUAGACGGAAAGACCCCGUGAACCUUUACUAUAGCUUUGCACUGGACUUUGAAUUUGCUUGUGUAGGAUAGGUGGGAGGCUUUGAAGCGUGGACGCCAGUUCGCGUGGAGCCAUCCUUGAAAUACCACCCUGGCAACUUUGAGGUUCUAACUCAGGUCCGUUAUCCGGAUCGAGGACAGUGUAUGGUGGGUAGUUUGACUGGGGCGGUCUCCUCCUAAAGAGUAACGGAGGAGUACGAAGGUGCGCUCAGACCGGUCGGAAAUCGGUCGUAGAGUAUAAAGGCAAAAGCGCGCUUGACUGCGAGACAGACACGUCGAGCAGGUACGAAAGUAGGUCUUAGUGAUCCGGUGGUUCUGUAUGGAAGGGCCAUCGCUCAACGGAUAAAAGGUACUCCGGGGAUAACAGGCUGAUACCGCCCAAGAGUUCAUAUCGACGGCGGUGUUUGGCACCUCGAUGUCGGCUCAUCACAUCCUGGGGCUGAAGCCGGUCCCAAGGGUAUGGCUGUUCGCCAUUUAAAGUGGUACGCGAGCUGGGUUUAGAACGUCGUGAGACAGUUCGGUCCCUAUCUGCCGUGGACGUUUGAGAUUUGAGAGGGGCUGCUCCUAGUACGAGAGGACCGGAGUGGACGAACCUCUGGUGUUCCGGUUGUCACGCCAGUGGCAUUGCCGGGUAGCUAUGUUCGGAAGAGAUAACCGCUGAAAGCAUCUAAGCGGGAAACUUGCCUCAAGAUGAGAUCUCACUGGAGCCUUGAGCUCCCUGAAGGGCCGUCGAAGACUACGACGUUGAUAGGUUGGGUGUGUAAGCGCUGUGAGGCGUUGAGCUAACCAAUACUAAUUGCCCGUGAGGCUUGACCAU